rnacentral:rRNA from 1 species
ACGGAAGGCAGCAGUGGGGAAUAUUGGACAAUGGGGGAAACCCUGAUCUAGCGACGCCGCGUGAGUGAAGAAGUAUUUCGGUAUGUAAAGCUCUAUCAGCAGGGAAGAUAAUGACGGUACCUGACUAAGAAGCCCCGGCUAACUACGUGCCAGCAGCCGCGGUAAUACGUAGGGGGCAAGCGUUAUCCGGAUUUACUGGGUGUAAAGGGAGCGUAGACGGCGAUGCAAGUCUGAAGUGAAAGGCGGGGGCUCAACCCUUGGACUGCUUUGGAAACUGUAUUGCUAGAGUGCAGGAGAGGUAAGUGGAAUUCCUAGUGUAGCGGUGAAAUGCGUAGAUAUUAGGAGGAACACCAGUGGCGAAGGCGGCUUACUGGACUGUAACUGACGUUGAGGCUCGAAAGCGUGGGGAGCAAACAGGAUUAGAUACCCUGGUA